rnacentral:rRNA from 1 species
UAAAACUCAUCAACCCUGUGAACAUACCUAAACGUUGCUUCGGCGGGAACAGACGGCCCCGUAACACGGGCCGCCCCCGCCAGAGGACCCCCUAACUCUGUUUCUAUAAAUGUUUUUUCUGAGUAAACAAGCAAAUAAAUUAAAACUUUCAACAACGGAUCUCUUGGCUCUGGCAUCGAUGAAGAACGCAGCGAAAUGCGAUAAGUAAUGUGAAUUGCAGAAUUCAGUGAAUCAUCGAAUCUUUGAACGCACAUUGCGCCCGCCAGUAUUCUGGCGGGCAUGCCUGUUCGAGCGUCAUUACAACCCUCAGGCCCCCGGGCCUGGCGUUGGGGAUCGGCGGAGCCCCCCGUGGGCACACGCCGUCCUCCAAAUACAGUGGCGGUCCCGCCGCAGCUUCCAUUGCGUAGUAGCUAACACCUCGCAACUGGAGAGCGGCGCGGCCACGCCGUAAAACACCCAACUUCUGAAUGUUGACCUCGAAUCAGGUAGGAAUACCCGCUGAACUUAAGCAUAUCAAUAAGCGGAGGAAAAAGAAA